GGCAGUGUGUCAGAGCAGAAUAGACCCUGGUUUAGAAACAAGGAGACCUGGGUUUAAAUUCCAGCUUUGCCA
rnacentral:tRNA from 1 species